UGCCGCCGCAUUGUUGUGUUCCCAAAUAUACAUCUUCAAAGAGAAAGAAAUCCUAUACAAGUCAAACCUUCCAUCGUUUCCCAAAAGAUCCUGUACUUCGCCGUGAAUGGAUUCAUAAAAUAAGAAGAGAUCCCGGUCGCCAUUUCAAGACAAGUUUUCAUGUGCGUGGUUUCAGUCAGAGGGCUCGCUUGGUGGGACUUACGGAAUGUCCGGACUGGAGCCUGGUAGAUUGGAGUGAAUUGGAGCUAGGACACGUUUUUCCUGAAAUCUUGUGUCAACCAAGAAACUCUAAAAGGUGGUCUUCAAUGUCCCUCACAACAAACCUCAAGGAAAUAGCAACGUGUUUUAACGACCAUCCUCUUUGCCACCACUACCAAAUUAUGGUCAUUGAACUCCUAGUCUCCAAGUCAUCAGGAACAUCAGGAAGGAUUAUUUCUCAGAGAGGAGACCAUAACAUAAAAUAUACUCUGUAGUUAUUAAUAUUGCUUUUAUUAUAAUACUGCUUUUAUAUAAAUAUAUAAUUAUAAUUUUUC
ensembl:lncRNA